AUACUUGUUUCAGUAGUACAUAUUCUACAAUUGAAUCAUUACAGAACAGAUAAGUAUAUCUGCUGCCCAGGGAUGGCACACAAAUUCAUAAAGCAUUCCAUAUUUUG